CAGUGACUUAAGUUAAACGGCCAUGGUACCCUAACCACGCGAAGGUAGCACAAUCACUUGUUCUCUAAAUCAGGACCAGUAUGAACGGCCCCACGAGGGCUACACUGUCUCCCCCCUUUAAUCAGUGAAACUGAUCUCCUCGUGAAGAAGCGAGGAUACUAUAAUAAGACGAGAAGACCCCAUGGAACUUUAAACUUUGUAUCACUACCCCCUCCCCCAUACCACACAAAUCAGGGUAUAAUGAAUACUAGUCUUUCGGCUGGGGCGACCACGAAGAAAAACAGAACCCCCGUGAUGAAAAGAAUAUCCUAAUCCCAGAGCCACCACUCCAAGAAUCAACAAAUUGACAUAAAUUGACCCAAGUACACUUGAUCAACGAACCAAGCUACCCUGGGGAUAACAGCGCAAUCCAUUUCAAGAGACCCCAUCGACAAAUGGGCUUACGACCUCGAUGUUGGAUCAGGGCAUCCUGGUGGUGCAGCCGCUACCAAGGGCUCGUUUGUUCAACGAUUAAAACCCU
rnacentral:rRNA from 1 species